UAUUAUUAUUUUAGGAAGUUUGAGGGUUUAAAUUAACUGUUAAAACAAUUAUAAAAUUUGAUGUUGUGCUGAAUAAAAAUUAUUUUAGAUUUUUUUACUAAAGAAAAUAAUUUUAGAGUUUUGAUGCAAACUAAAUUCGUUCCAUCAAAUUUGUUUUUAUAAUUUGAGCAUUUACAUGAAUCAACUACGAUGAAUGCCUUUUUGGGGGACAAAAACUACGAUGAAUGCAUUUAUAAUUUUUGUUGGUGUUUUUUUUAGAGUACAAAAUUUUCUUUGGUGUUGAAAGUUCAAAAUUUUACUCCAUGUCUGUAAAUAUUAUUAAAAGAUAACUAACAAUAAUAUAUUUUACUUUGAUUAUAAUUUUAAAUUGAGAAUUGAGCAUAUAUAUAUAUUUUUUGUUUGAUUUUCACUCUACAUAUGAGAUAGAAAAAUCAGUUGGGAAAAGAAGGGAAAAUAAUGUUGAGUAAAUUUUAAUUUUAAAUUUUAAAAAAAUAAUUAUAAUGUUUGAUAAAUUAAUAUUAAAUUCGUGUAAUUUAGUUAUAUGAAUCAAAGUAGACUUAUCAUUUCAACUAUUUGUAGUUUAUUAAAAUUUUAUAUAUUUGAAUUUCAACUAAUUUGAUUUAAUUUGAAUUAUUUGAUAAAAGUUAAAGAUAAUUGUUAUGAAGAUUGAAUCAAUUAAAAUUUGAAAAUAGACGUGACAAAAUACAUUAAUGUGAAGGAUAUUGUUAUAAUAUAUUUACUUAUACUAUUGAAAAGAUAGCAAAUUUUUAGAAAAGUUAAAUCUAAAUGUUUCUAUCAUUUUUAGUUAAAAUUUAGGGCAAAGCGUCAAAUUUUAUCCUUUUGGAAUGUAUCAAUUUAAACUCUAAACUAAUAAUUGUAUUAAUUUAAACCUUGAACUUUGAGAUUGUAUUAGUUUAAACUCCAAAUUAAUAAUUGUAUCAAUUUAAACCAUAAAGUUUCGUAAAUGUAUCAAUUUAAAUCUUAAAGUUUCAUAAAUGUAUCAAUUUAAACGAUGAACUAAUUAUAUAAAUUUAAAUCUUGAAUUUUCACAAGUGUGUCCAUUUAAACCUUAAACUUCCACAAGUGUAUUGAUUUAGAUUGAUAUACUUCUGAAAGUUCAGGGUUUAAAUAGAUAUACUUGUGAAAUUCAAGGUUUAGAUUGAUAUAAUUAGUUUAAGCUUUAAAUUGAUACAACUUCGAUGUGGUAGAAUUAGAGUAACUUAGGAUAUCUUGGUCAAAUCUUUGAUUUAUUAGGAUUAGAAUUAGUUUCCUUGAUUGAUUAGGAUUAGGAUUAGUUUCUUUGGUUGAUUAGGAUUUGAAUUAGUUUCUUUUAUUAAUUAGGAUUAGGAUUAGUUUGUUUUUCAAUUAUCUAUAAAUAGAUAUAUUGUCUUCUUGUUUAGAUAACUUUGAUUCAUAAUAAAGACUACUUUAGAUUUUUGGAGAGAAUUCUCCUUUUAUCUCUUUAGGAUACAUCAAUUUGGUAUUAGAGCAUCAAGAUCAAGUGGACUUAAUAGAAAGAAAGAAGUCUUCCAUAACAUAAACUUCCCAAAACAAAGAUGCGGAGACACCCAUCGCCCUAUCACUAAAGACUACGACCAAAAGUUUAAGUUCUGUCGAUGGUAUGAUGAGGUUACUAGAGAAUUUUUCUUCAAUUGGAUUGAUUAUCCGAAGGGCAGAAACAACUUCAAGAUUUGGUAAACCCCACCUAAAAGUUGAAGCCGAAAGGAAUCUUGGUGAUCAAGAACGACAACAUAACGCAUACCAACCUCAAAUCUUUCCAAGAAACGCUAAAGAACAAUCAAGAUUGAGUGUUUAACAGAAGAGACAACGACAAUAGAUGAGGAAGAAGAGAAUAAGGAGUGGGACAUGGAUAGAACUCACAUACCACACUUUCAAAGAGAGGAAUACAACGACUACAAAGUUGUUUUCAAAUUGGUGCUUGAACGACUCAAAUUGGAAAGGAAAUCAACGUUGAAACAAGAGGAAAGUGACCCUACCUGCAAAUCUCACCACAACAUAAGAGAUGUUGAAAUCGAAGCUUUUGAAAAGGUAGAAGAAGAAAAUAUCCACGACAAACUUAUUUGAAGAAACUUGAAAACCUAAUUCAUGUUGAUUGCGAAGCAACGUAAGAGAUGACAUGUUUGGAAUCAGAAAAAUGUGGGUAUUCUGGCAAAAUUGCGAGGAAGGUUGAGGUGGUCGAAUCGAUAGACUCGAAGAAGAAGAAGAUUGUGUGGCUAAUGAAGAAGAUUAUCGAAGGUUGUUCACCCAUUGCAAUCGUUCACAAGAGAGAAGAAGAUAAAGCAACACGAGGCUUCAUACCAGCACAUACUCAAACCCACUACACCAAAUAUGGCCCAACUUAAGUCAAAUUACUUCAGACUUGGAGACUAAGUGUAUUUUCCUAUUUUAUGGUUAGGUUCUUUAAACCAUUCAUCGAUAAAAGAAGGAAAACAACCGGCCAUGGAUGAGCAAUCGAAGAAGGUAGAAGGUGAUAACAAAUUUGACAAAGCAUAAUGAGUGUAAAUCCGAGCAACGGAAAAAAACCGCAGGGGUAGAAACUCAAUCCCAGUUUCAUAAAUGAAGAAGGGAGGAAGACGAAGAGGACGAUUCACUCUUAGAAUCUCUCUUUGUUUCGUUACUCAUACAAAUCAAUUGUCGAAUCAUCCACUAUUAGUUCUUGAUUGAGCACGAAGUUUUUAUUUUUUUUAUUCAAUUUUAUUUAACCUUUUUAUUUUUAUCAAGAGUAACACUUAAUUCUUGAAUUUGCAUGGAUUUAGGGAGAGAAAAUUGAAUUAUUUUUGUCAAA